rnacentral:rRNA from 1 species
UACAGAGGGUGCAAGCGUUUAAUCGGAAUUACUGGGCGUAAAGCGUGCGCAGACGGUUGCGUAAGUCAGAUGUGAAAGCCCCGGGCUCCAACCUGGGAAUUGCAUUUGAGACUGCGUAGCUAGGGUGCGGAAGAGGGAAGCGGAAUUUCCGGGUGUGAGCGGUGGAAAUGACGUAGAUAUCGGAAGGAACACCAGUGGCGAAAGCGGCUUCCUGGUCCAGCACCGACGUCAGGCACGAAAGCGUGGGGAGCAAACAGG